rnacentral:rRNA from 1 species
UAGCAUAAUCAUUAGUUUUUUAAUUGAAAACUUGUAUGAAUGGUUGGACAAAAGAAAAGCUGUCUAUAUUACAAAUAUUGAAUUUAACUUUUAAGUGAAAAGGCUUAAAUAAUUUAGGGGGACGAUAAGACCCUAUAAAACUUUAUAUGUUAGUGAAAUUUAAUUAAAUUAUAAAAAUUUAAUUUAACGUUGUAUUUUAUUGGGGCGAUAAAGGUAUAAAUUAUAUUAACUGCUUAAUACUAAAACAAUAAUAUUUGGAUACUAGUAAAUGAUCCUUUUUUAAAGAUUAAAAGACUAAGUUACUUUAGGGAUAACAGCGUAAUUUCUUUUGAGAGCUCAUAUCGAAAAAGAAGAUUGCGACCUC